GAUGAACGCUGGCGGCGUGCCUAACACAUGCAAGUCGAACGGAGUUAUUAUUAUGAAGUUUUCGGAUGGAUUAAUAAUAACUUAGUGGCGGACGGGUGAGUAACGCGUGGGCAACCUGCCUCAUACAGGGGGAUAACAGUUGGAAACGACUGCUAAAACCGCAUAACAUUGCGACACCGCAUGGUGAUGCAAAUUAAAUAUUUAUAGGGUAUGAGAUGGGGCCCGCGUCUGAUUAGCUAGUUGGUGAGGUAAUGGCUCACCAAGGCGACGAUCAGUAGCCGGCUUGAGAGAGUGAUCGGCCACAUUGGGACUGAGACACGGCCCAAACUCCUACGGGUGGCAG
rnacentral:rRNA from 1 species